GUCACUGGGUUACUCCAAAGCAUAGGUCAGGCAAGAACUCUCAUGCAGUUUCACUUCAGGCACCGGCACUGUCCUGCCACGCUGACACACACAGCAGGCCUGGAGCAGGUUAGGUCUAGUUGAUCUGUGGGAGCAGCCUGAGCAGGAUUGUGGUGGGCUUGUAUUUUGGUAUCAACAGACAGAACAACUGAUCACCACCCACAUUUUGUAUUUGAAGAUUCCUCCUCAGGCUCCUCUUCCUUCAAACCAUUUUUUCAAUGGAUCAAGAUCAUUUUGAAUCAUAACCCUGUCCUCUUACCAUGUCUUCUACUUCACGCAGCUUGGUGUCAUCUAAAAACUUAAGUUUACACUCAAUUUCUUACUCCAAGUCAUUAAUGAAGAUAUUGAAUAUAACUGGAUCCCUGGAAGAUCCCACUGGAUAUAUAUAUUCUCUGUCACAUUGAGCUACCAAGGAUCAUGCUUUGAGCAGGAUAAUUUGAUCAGCUAUCUACCCAUCUUAAGUAGUUUAAUCUAGACUGCAUUUUGUUAGUUUCCCCAUGACAUUUUCAUAAGUACGCUAUGUCAAAAGCCUUACUAAACUAAGUUAUAUUGUAUACACCGCUCCCUGAUAUCCACAAAGCCUGUCACAUUGUCAUAAAAGCAAAUCUGAUAAAUCCAUGCCAGGUGUUUUUAUCAUAUUAUCCUCUGGGGACAAAUCUCACCCCCCGCCCCCUCCGCUCCCACCUUUAAGCAGGUAAAAAGGAACUUCCCACCUUACAGUAGAAAGAUACUGGAGGACUGGAGAGAAGUAAGGUAGAAGCAGCCUAGCUCUGAGGGUCAGCAAAAUUAAUACUGCCAUGUCCAGGUUUCUGCUCCUCUGCUGUCUAUGCUCUUUAGCCAAAUGACUCUCUCAUACAAACUACAUAGAACUGAAAGGGGAAAGGGUCUUUGUGAUGAGAACACUUUGUGACACAUGGGUCCAAAUCUCCUCUAGCUUGGGGUUGGGGGGGAUCUUGAUCCUGAGCCUCCUACUCCCCAGGCAAUUGUUCUAACUAUCUUGUUAUUGGGUUAAAAGCCAGGAAGGAGGCUCUUCUUUGUCCCCUAGUUGUGGUUUUCUUGUGACUAAUUGGCUCAGGAAUGGCUGGGACUGCCUCCGAGGCAGGUGUUUGUAAACAAGCCUUCAUUGAUUUCUCAGCUUCUCAGAGCAAGGCUGGGAAAGCAAAAGAGGAAGACACAGCCAAGAGCAGUUUGCAAAAAGCCCCUAGAUUCAGAUUUGUUCAUCCAAACUGCAUCCGAACACAUCUGUAAACAUCAGGGUCUGAGAACCAAAAAAAUAAAAAAAUAAAGCUACAGUUGCAGUGAAGGUCAUUGACCACCAGUCAUUCACCCAGUUCUCAUGAAAACACGCCCAGUGUGAUAUGACUGACAUACAACUGACUAUAUCUUGACUUCGACCUUGCCUAUGUUUUAGGCUGUCACUAGAUGGUAGUGUAGCUAGUCAUUUCAUACUACCAUGCUCUGACAAAAUAGGAAUGUCCCAGCCACCAGUUUAGUCUCAAAAAUGGCAAUGCACAUAGAUGUAUAGAGAAGAGCUCUUUGUGUUAAACUGCAGGGGAACAUGAUUGAUAAAUAUCUCUUAAACUGCUCCUCUGACAUCGCCCACUGACCUUACACAGGAGGCUCAAUCAACAUCCCAACUCUCUGAGCAGUUUUAAACAGCUGCCUUACAACAUCAAUCCUCUAGAAAAAUGUUUCUUUUUUGCUUUCAAAGUAGGAUUUCACCCAGUCGCAUCUGCCCCUGUUGAGAUUCAGCAUGCUGUUUUUUCAGAAAAGCUUCAAAGCCUCAUCUUCUGUGAGAGAUGCAAAGCCAACAACAAGUGCCUUAUCUCAUUAGAGCUGGAAGCUUCCCAAAAACCCCACACUCCCCCUUGGCUCUGGAAGUGAUGGAAACCAUGGAUUCUUUACUAUCCAAUAUGUAGAAACACUAUUUUGGAGGUGUUUAUGGCUCCCUAUACAAUCAUAGAGUACCUGGUUCUUUAUAUAAACUAUUGAAAACUUCUCAUACAUUUUAAACUCUCUAAAAUACCCUUAAACUUAUUUUCAUAUACAGUAAGAUAAGCAGCACUUACCAAAUACCAGGUGGUGACAAUAUGCCACAGGGUAUAAAGUUUUAUAACUACUUAGUUGAGACACUUGGAAAAUAGUCAUGGUUUUGCUACCCAUCAAUGAUGUGGGUAUACUAAACUUAUGCCAAUGACAUUUCUGUACCAUAACAGUUGUAUAUAUGUACACACACAUUAGUGGGGGUUCUCAUAUACAUAUAUACACACACUUGGUUAUGACAAUGUCAAGAUGGAAGUACCUAGAUAUGUGUGUGUUAUGAACUUUGCAAAACUGAAACAGAAUUCAGUAAAGGGUCAAAAUCCAAUCCAGCUCUUUCAUCUACAUGGCUCGAGUGUGAACCAUGUGAGCCCAGUAACUCAAUUGUGAACCAUGAACCAAAGCCUGGGCACAUAAAUUCCCAUUUUCUCUGAAACAUUUCUAUGCAGUACUAUAGCUGUCAAGUAAGUCUGCCAGGAAGGAAGCCACAAGAACACUUCUAUAACUGCAAGAGUGACCAGCUCACAUUGAAGCUGUUCACACUUCUGAAGCACUUCAAGUGUACAAUGACCAAGCUUAAAGCCUUGAAGGUGACCUGCAAGGGGAGAAAAACAACUGUGUGCUCUUUUGAACCCGAAAGCUUGCUUAAUAACUAUUCUCCAACCAUUUGGGUUGGUCUAAUAAAAGA